rnacentral:lncRNA from 1 species
AUGGCGUUACUGUUUACAACUAUCUGCAUAGUAUAAUGGCGGCGUGGUUUGGAAAGUGAAAAGAGGGAGUGUUUUUUGUUCCGAUUUGUUUAUAUUCAUAUCUUCCAAUAUGAAAUUCUAAGUUUUGUGCGAUUUCUACGAUUUGUGUGUUAGUAAUUUUUAUCCUCGUGGCUUGUGUAUAGACUGUUUAACAUGUCAAAUUAUGAUUUUUGUGCGGUUAUGUUGAAUCGGAAGUAAAUUUUGCGGAAGUCGGAAAAGUUCUACCAUUCUGACUAGGAGAGCAGCAAAAUGAUAACUGCUCAGGGUGGCAAUAUGGUCAAACGCUCCCGCCAGCUUGCCACGACCAUUCUUGUUAUCAUUUUGACUGCUGCGGCGCCGUUCACACAUGCUGCAGAAGGUGAGUUUGCUUCUUAAAUUUUAGUAGUCGUAAGAACACUAACGAUCGAAGUAGAUGAUUCUACGAUGCUUAGAAAGAAAUGUAAAUGUAGGAACUAUGUGAAGUAUCUUUGAACCCUCGGAGUCGGUAAUAUGAAACAACACUUAACACCUUACUGUUAAAAUAAAAUAAAAAAUUCUCAAAAUUGAGAAAAAAUUGAGAAAGCUCACUUGGGCUUUUUUUAAAACCAAGAAUGCCAGAAACCAGCGCUAUGCCCUGAAACCAGCGCUAUGCCCUGAAACUCUCUAUAAAUCUCCCUUAAAUCAUAGAACAUAAAUUCAUACAAUCUCGAAGUCAAACUGCGGUCAGUACUUGAAACAGUGAUACGUGAGAGUCUAUUAGGCAAUGUCUAACGCUGAUUCUAGUUCAAUUAUGAGACGCAAUUAAAACACGUUAUUUUUCGCCAAUUUGUCAUCAGCACGAACGUAAAAUGAUUGUCAAUUAAAGUUUCUGAAUCGUCUACUUCCCUCGUUUGGAGUUUUAACUUAUGUAGUCUCAAUUUAAUUAAUUCAGUUUGACUAUCUCAGGUAUUUGUUCGACCUUUCUUUUUCUCUUUGAGCAAUAGAGAAAAUUAAAGGAGCAUCUUGUAAAAUAUUCGUGGAAUAGUUUAAAACGAGAGGCAUUCUGUAGGGAGUAAAGAGGGUCGGUAAGAAAGAAUACUGUAAUAAAA